rnacentral:rRNA from 1 species
GAUGAACGCUAGCUACAGGCUUAACACAUGCAAGUCGAGGGGAAACGACAUCGAAAGCUUGCUUNUGAUGGGCGUCGACCGGCGCACGGGUGAGUAACGCGUAUCCAACCUGCCCAUCACUUGGGGAUAACCCUGCGAAAGUAAGACUAAUACCCAAUGAUAUCUCUAGAAGACAUCUGAAAGAGAUUAAAGAUUUAUCGGUGAUGGAUGGGGAUGCGUCUGAUUAGCUUGUUGGCGGGGUAACGGCCCACCAAGGCGACGAUCAGUAGGGGUUCUGAGAGGAAGGUCCCCCACAUUGGAACUGAGACACGGUCCAAACUCCUACGGGAGGCAGCAGUGAGGAAUAUUGGUCAAUGGGCGAGAGCCUGAACCAGCCAAGUAGCGUGCAGGAUGACGGCCCUAUGGGUUGUAAACUGCUUUUAUAAGGGAAUAAAGUUAGUCUCGUGAGACUUUUUGCAUGUACCUUAUGAAUAAGGACCGGCUAAUUCCGUGCCAGCAGCCGCGGUAAUACGGAAGGUCCGGGCGUUAUCCGGAUUUAUUGGGUUUAAAGGGAGCGUAGGCCGGAGAUUAAGCGUGUUGUGAAAUGUAGAUGCUCAACAUCUGAACUGCAGCGCGAACUGGUUUCCUUGAGUACGCACAAAGUGGGCGGAAUUCGUGGUGUAGCGGUGAAAUGCUUAGAUAUCACGAAGAACUCCGAUUGCGAAGGCAGCUCACUGGAGCGCAACUGACGCUGAAGCUCGAAAGUGCGGGUAUCGAACAGG